GAGAGAGUCCGGGGAAAAUGCCCAGAAAUGCCUGGCAAAGAGAGAGCGAGAGAAAUACAGAGAGAGAGCAGUUACAGGAGCGCAGCAAGGACGUCGCCGUCGCAGGCGAAGUCGACCGCGCAGCGACUGAGACGCUACGCAACUAGUGCUGCUGCCACGCCGCUUUACAACACUGCCUGUCAAAGCCACAAUCCCACUGCAAUCGAUAACCGACUGCAAAAUUAUGUCAGCCCUGCCUCCUUCGCGCCAAAAAGCUCAGUGUCCACUAUUGCAGAAAUAAGUAACUUUUGCCAAGCACUAGCUGCUUUGGCUCAUCUAAAUCCUGUAGCUGCGUUUUUAUGGCAAGCAGUGGGUAAAAAUGACCGCAAAACCAACACCAAAUACAGGUUAAUAAGCACAUCAAAUUAAUAUUCUGCUCGCGCUUUCGAUUCUAAUCGUUUUAAUCAAAAACGAUCAUUUCGAUGGGAAGGCAACAUUUAAUAGUGCCUGCAUUUUAAGUGACAGUAUGAUGUUCUAACUCUCCAAGCGGCCAGUUGAGUUGUUUCCAAAAAGAAGACGAUGACUAAUGGAAUAAUCGAUAAGACGUUUGUGCCGCGUGCAUACUGUGUACAAAGUAUCGGAAUGUCACGCGCAGGCGAAGGACAUCGUCACGUACAGACACACGCACACACAGUGCCACAUUGCACAAGUGUUGCCACCGCAACACAAGGUCUGUGUGGGGGUGUGUGGCAGGGAAACAGCUGGGCCACGAAAAAGUGCGACUUGAAAAGUCUUUCAUUUGUCGCUCCGUGUGUUUGUUGCCCUGCACUUUUCCGCAAUCGUGUUUCGCUCACGUGGGAGGAGUUUAGUUGCCAGGCGAGAGUGGGGCACGUGGACAGGAAGUUGACAACUCUGGCAUGGAUGUGCACGAGUGUGCGUGCCCCUGCAAGGCCCACCCUUGCACCGUGCAGCCUGACAUUUAUUGCGAAGGCAUUUUUUCCUACAGCGAAACCUCAAAAACACUGCGCCACAAAACGGGCUAAUAAUAAUAGUGCUCACUAUUAAGUAGAUCAGGAAUAAAAUGAAUUGAUUGUCAAAUUGGCUAUCCAGAAUGUAAUUGACACCAGGAGCAAAGAAGUAAUUGAUAUUUUACACUUGUUUUGUGAACUGCAAAGUGUGACCUUUGCCGAAUGUUGACUGUCUUUUGGAAGACGGUCAAGAAAAUAGAGCGAACAAUAGACCAGAUCGCACAUCUCACGCAUGUGUGUUUCGGUGUUUCGCUGUUUACUUGCUUUCGUCAUUUUCAAUGUCACUUGCAAUGCAAACGUUGCACUUUGCAGUCAAAAUAAUGAUAUGCGAUCCGAGCCCACAACAAUCAACAAAAACAACAACAAGAAGUAGAAGAAGAGGAGGCAACGUCACACACAAAGAGUUUUCGCACCAAUUUCGCCUUAUUUAAUUUAAAUUCCUUUGACCGGCAGGCAGGGCAGACUGCUAAUUUCAUGGAAACGUCGCCAUAGACGCUAUAGACGCCGCGACUCUCGGGCACAGUGCGUCGUGUCAGAAACAAACACAGUGGGGACACUGUCAGAUGCACUGCGCAAUGUGUAAGUCACUCCACUCGGCCGCAUGCCACAUGUCGCAUGCAGCAUGUCAACUGUCAGUGACAUGUCUAGUAUAGCAGGAUUAAAGAUAGAAUAUUAACUGAUAUGUGGGGAAAACGUGUUGCUACGUGCAUAUCUUUCACUGCUCAAUCAAUUAUCGUUCGGAUGAGUAAUGUCACACCGAUCCACCGACAAACCACUUGACGCACUUAUAUUGCACAGAUCUCUCGCAGUGCAUAAGCUACCCACCCUUUCCUUAUCACUGUGCGGAUAUAGGGGAUAUAUUCGCACAGUGAUAAGGGAAGGGGACGUGUUGUCAGUCUUCAGUUGCUAAUAAAGCAUAUGUACUAUAAUGUACUCCAAGCUAAUCUAUCAAA